GGGACAGUAGCUCAGUAGGUAGAGCAACGUUAAAAAUUUUAAAUGUUAUCAGAUGAUAACUUACAGCAAAUACAUACAAAAAUCAAGCAUCAUAAGCCGUGUGUCGCAGGUUCGAGUCCUGCCUGUCCUA
rnacentral:tRNA from 1 species